rnacentral:rRNA from 1 species
CAGUAGGGAAUCUUCCACAAUGGGCGGAAGCCUGAUGGAGCAACGCCGCGUGUGUGAUGAAGGGUUUCGGCUCGUAAAACACUGUUGUAAGAGAAGAAUGACAUUGAGAGUAACUGUUCAAUGUGUGACGGUAUCUUACCAGAAAGGAACGGCUAAAUACGUGCCAC